UAUAAGUACACGCCUUAACAAGGUGAAACCGCGAACGGCUCAUUACAACAGCUAUAAUCUACUCGGUCUUGACCAGUUACUCGGAUAACUGUGGUAAUUCUAGAGCUAAUACGUGCACCGAUGCUGUUCCUUGCGGAGCAGUGCAUUUGUUGGAGCAAAACCAGGCGGCUUCGGCCGUUUUUGCUGACUCAGAACAACUUAGCUGAUCGCAUGGGCUUGUCCCGGCGACGCACCGUCCGAGUGUCUGCCUUAUCAACUUUCGAUGGUAGUGUACGUGACUACCAUGGUUGUGACGGGUAACGGAGGAUAAGGGUUCGACUCCGGAGAAGGGGCCUGAGAAAUGGCCACUACGUCUAAGGAUGGCAGCAGGCGCGCAAAUUACCCACUCUCGGUUCGAGGAGGUAGUGACGAAAAAUAACAAGGCUGUUCUCUACGAGGCCAGCCAUUGGAAUGGGUACAACACAAACCCUUUAACGAGUAUCAAUGAGAGGGCAAGUCUGGUGCCAGCAGCCGCGGUAAUUCCAGCUCUCAAAAUGCAUAGAACCAUUGCUGCGGUUAAAAAGCUCGUAGUUGGAUCUGUGCCGGCGACGUGGUCCACCCGAAAGGGCGGCACUGCGCUCGUCGGCUUUGGGCCGGUCUUCGUGCGGUCGCCUUCAUCGGUGGCCGUGCGUGGCUGGCUGGUUUACUUUGAGCAAAUCAGAGUGCUCAGCACAGGCGUUUCGCCGGAAUGUUCGUGCAUGGAAUAAUAGAAAAGGAUUUCGGUCCUCUUUUAUUGGUUUUGUGGACUGAGAUAAUGGUUAACAGAGACGAACGGGGGCAUUCGUAUUGCUGCGUGAGAGGUGAAAUUCUUGGACCGCAGCAGGACGGACUACAGCGAAAGCAUUUGCCAAGCGCGUCUUCAUUAAUCAAGAACGAAAGUCAGAGGUUCGAAGGCGAUCAGAUA
rnacentral:rRNA from 1 species